rnacentral:rRNA from 1 species
AAUCUUGCGCAAUGGGCGAAAGCCUGACGCAGCGACGCCGCGUGAGCGAAGAAGGCCUUCGGGUCGUAAAGCUCAGUCAUUGGGGAUGAGAUGACAGUACCCAAGGAGGAAGCCCCGGCUAACUACGUGCCAGCAGCCGCGGUAAUACGUAGGGGGCGAGCGUUGUCCGGAAUUACUGGGCGUAAAGGGUACGUAGGCGGCUAUAUAAGUCAGGUGUGAAAUACCAGUGCUUAACACUGGAAUUGCAUUUGAAACUGUGUAGCUUGAGUGCAGGAGAGGAAAGUGGAAUUCCUAGUGUAGCGGUGAAAUGCGUAGAGAUUAGGAGGAACACCAGUGGCGAAGGCGACUUUCUGGACUGUAACUGACGCUGAGGUACGAAAGCGUGGGUAGCGAACA